rnacentral:hammerhead_ribozyme from 1 species
AUCCAGCUGAUAAGUCCCAACUAGGACGAAACACGCGUCAAACUAGAU